rnacentral:RNase_P_RNA from 1 species
CGAGGAGGCCAGGCGGCCGCCGGCCCCCACCGUUACCGGGGGCGGGAGGAAAGUCCGGGCUCCGCAGGGCAGGGUGCCGGGUAACGCCCGGUGGGGGCGACCCCGAGGACAGUGCCACAGAAAACACACCGCCUCCCGCCUCGGCGGGCGGUAAGGGUGAAAAGGUGAGGUAAGAGCUCACCGCGCGGCGGGCGACCGCCGCGGCACGGCAAACCCCACCCGGAGCAAGGCCGAAUAGGAGGGCGACUCCGCUUCCGAAAGGGGGCGGGGGAAGGGCGACCCGCCCGGAGCUCUCGGGUCCAGGCCGCUCAAGGCCCGCGGCGACGCGGGCCGUAGAGAAAUGGCCGCCACGCGGUGCGAUCAGGCGCCGCGCACAGAACCCGGCUUACGGCCUCCUCGGACG